AGAGCUGGCGAGGUGGUUGCGGGUUCGCGCUUGUACAAGCAAGUAGCGCAUCUGAGGAAAGUCCGGGCUUCCCAAAGACCAAACCUGCUGGGUAACGCCCAGUGCGAGCGAUCGCGAGAGAGUGCCACAGAAAAAUACCGCCUUUUUGCAAAAUAGAAAGGUAAGGGUGCAAAGGUGCGGUAAGAGCGCACCAGCAGU
rnacentral:RNase_P_RNA from 1 species